rnacentral:rRNA from 1 species
UACGUAGGGUGCGAGCGUUGUCCGGAAUUAUUGGGCGUAAAGAGCUCGUAGGCGGUGUGUCACGUCGGCCGUGAAAACCUGCAGCUUAACUGUGGGCGUGCGGUCGAUACGGGCAUCACUGGAGUUCGGCAGGGGAGACUGGAAUUCCUGGUGUAGCGGUGAAAUGCGCAGAUAUCAGUAGGAACACCGAUGGCGAAGGCGGGUCUCUGGGCAGAUACUGACGCUGAGGAGCGAAAGCGUGGGGAGCAAACAGG